AAAAAUCAAAAGAACUAAUAACGAGAUACAACCACGGAUUAUUGAGCAAGCUACGUCCUUUAGUCUUAUUUCUAAGAACUCACUGAUCGCUAAGCUACAAAGUUGACCGAACAGUUGUUCUCCGUCGUAUUGACUUCCAAUUAUGGCCGACUCUCAUGGCCAGUGAAUCGACCUUUUCAUAAAAUGCUUUGUAAUGCAGUAUUUUAAUUUCAAAAACGAUGAAAAAGAAAAUAUACACGGCAAGCCACUUGUCUUUGAGAAACUUUAGGAUGUCUAUAGAGACACAAGAGGACCAACAAUGUAAACUCUUUCUCGAGGGCUCCAUGUUUGAGGAUCAUUUUAAUGACUCAAGAAGAUUUGUGAAGAGGGUUAUGGCGGUCAUUCUGAACUUUUUGAUACCAAGUUUCUGAGGCGUAUUUGUUUGUUACUUCUGGAACUAAGGACGUCAGCCGAGACAUUUUUCUCAAAUUCUGGAAUAAACGAAGAAAAAUGGCUACCUUGUUACGAGAGAUUUGUCACAUCUGUGAUUCAUCUCUCGCAGCUCGAUAUCAACCUCCACAAAGGGAAUUUUAUUUUCAUUUGAACCUCACAUCGCCCUCGCGAGAUCAUCUUGAAGUAUUACGAUUCCAAAAAGGUGAUGUCGUUGCCGCUGACCAAAAGCGUUUACGAUUGCAUAUGGGCUUCGAACUGGAAUGAACGAAAGUCGAAACAAAUGAAGAACAGGUUUCUUUUUUUGAACUGUAUUGUGAGAGGCCAAGCAGGCAAAGGAUUUGAACGCAGACCAUGGAGGUACAUAAUGGUAUUUGAUACAAGGCACAGACGGCAAAGCAGCAAGGACUUAAAUACGGAGCUGAGCCCGCGGAUGAGCAGUGUAAAUGCAUUCGCAAUGUUCACAGAUUUAAGCUCGAAGCCAUUGACUAUACUUGAUGUGAAUUUCGAAGACAUUCAUAGCCAUGUAAUCUGCAUGCCAGGUACAAGGGACGCCAGGGGUGCACCUGUGGUAUUUGUGGAUACUGGAAUGUUGGAAUGGCAGAUUCCAGAUUUCAACAGCGAAGAAAUAGCACAAAUAUGUCUAUAUUUGCUUCAAAUU